UUCCACACAGGAAGGUCACAUCAUCCCUCACCAUCAUCAGGGUGAACAACUGAAAGACAUCAAAAUUGAGGUUAAAGUAGAAAAAGCAGAGAAGUCCGGGGAUCAGCAGUCUAUGGUAGAGGGUGAUCCUCUGUAUUCCCGGGAUUCCACACAGGAGGAUCACACCAUCCCCCACCAUCAUCAGGGUGAAGAACGGAUUAAUAUAAAAGCUGAGGUUAAAGAAGAAGUAGAGACGUAUGUGGGGGGUGAUCAGCCAAUCACGGAGGAGGUUGGGAUGAUUAUGAAAAGUGAACAGAAGGACAUUUCUCUACCUUGUGACACAGGUAGGUAACAGACAUUGUGGAAAAAACUGGUCAAAGUCUCAUUUUACUUCUAAGUAUAAGGAUUGUA